ACAUGAUAAACCUCGUCUCUACUAAAAAUACAAACAUUAGCUGGACAUGGUGCCACGUGCCUGUAAUCCCAGCUACUGGGAAGGGAAGGUUGAGGCAGGAGAAUCACUUGAACCCAGGAGGCAGAGGUUACAGUGAGCUGAGCAUCUGGGCAACAGAGUGAGAUUCCAUCUCCAAAAAAAAAAGGGGGUUUCAAGACAUGCCACUGUAGGUUAUGCAGGGAAGAGAUGAGAGAUUCAGGACCAUCAGGACAGACAACCAUAUUGCUCCAUUCCCCACCCCACAUACACCCUGACUCUCUUCAUCAGGGCCAGGGGCCACCUGGUCUUACAGUGGUUCCAUAUCCAUUGUUCAUGAUCCCAGCUUCCACUGAGGGUUCAUCCAGGUGGGCCCCAAGGGGCCUAGAUGUUAAUCCCUGUCAAUCACAUUUUCCACUGCAGGUUCAACUCCAUAUACAAAGAGAACAGCAAGAAAGUGUUUCAAAAGAGGCCAUUCACUAGUGGGCGGCAUUUUACAGUCUAUGUGGUAACGUGGACUGGUUGGGGGGUGCUUCCAUUUCACCCCCCUCAGGGCUCAUAGGUGUUAGGGGACCUGCUAAAGGUCACCCUGGAGUAACUGUCAGAGCCACAGUCUACAGGAUGGCCUCCUUACCCAGUGCUUUGGAUGUCUGCAGCUGUUUUGAAACUUCAUGCAAACCGGUGGGUGCUGCAGAAUUGGCCUCUUCCAGCCACAGCAGUAAUCCUGUUACGUUCUCUCUGUGAGUCUGGGAAACAUACAGACACUGGUUGAAACUUCAGCUUUGUCAUUUACCAGCUGUGCUAUCACAGGUAAGUUUUUUGUUUUCUUUUUGUUUUUUUGAGACAGGGUCUCAAUCUGUUACCCAUGCAGGACUGCAGUGACAUGAUCGCUGCUCUUACUGCAGCCCUGACCUCCCGGGCUCGAGUGAUCCUUCCACCUCAGCCUUCUAAGUAAUUGGGACUACAGGUGUGCGCCAGCAUGCCUGGCUAAUUUUUUUUUUUUGUAUGUUGCUUAGGCUGGUCUGAAACUCCUGGGCUCAAGCAGUUCUCCCACAUUGGCUUCCCAAAGUGCUGGGAUUACAGGUCUGAACCACCGAACCGGGCCACAGAGUGGCAAUGUGGUUGGCAUGACCCAGUCACAGCACCCCGGGACUCUUGUCCAGCAUUGGCGCUCUAUAUGCAGAGCCCUUUCACUCAGCCUGGCAGCAUCUGAUCAGCGUCGAAGCCCAGUGGCUUGAGGAAUAAAUAUAAACAGUGCAGAGACUAAAAGCAGAGCUCUGGUCCAGCACAUCUACUCCCAAGCUCUGCCACCCUGGACAAGCUCCUUCCCCUCUCUGAGCCUCAGUCUCCUCCCUGUAAUACUGUAAGAACCCUGUCCACAGUUGUGUGCCGAUAUACUGAAUGUAAAGCACCUAAAAGCCUGCCAGGACGUGGCAGGCACUCAAGAAGCAUUACUAGAUUCAUUUCACACAUGGAGAAACUGAGUCCCAGAGUGGGAAAGUGACUCAGGCAAAGAUUCCCUCACAGAACUGGGGAUAAAAAUCCAGAUCUUCAAGCUCCCAGUCAGUGCCUAAUUACUACUUUCUCAUUCUUGGAAUUUGUAAUUAUUUCAUGACAAGUGUGCUUUUGGCUGCUGGAGGGACAGAGCUUCAGAGGUUGUGAGCCUCCCCUGGCUCAGCCUGACCCAGAACCAGCUCACUCAUGAAACUACCCUCUCUUGAAGAGAAUAGGAGUUGUGGGGAGGAAGAACAUAACCCAGAGGCCAGAGAACGUGGAGGCCAGGGUUGGUGUAACUGUGUAGGUAAGAGCAGCAGCUUCGUGAUCAGCCAGACCUGCAUUUAAAUCCUUCUCUGCCACUUCUUAGCUGUGUGACCAGCUACAUGACACCACCUCCCUGAGCCUCAGGUUUUCAUCUGUAAACUUUCAAUGCUACCUCUCCCAUAGGGUUGUUGUAGGAAUUAAAUAAGACAACAGAGGUAGAGUACCUGCUCCCAACUGGCAGCCCUUAUAAUUUCAUGAAGAGGAAGCAAAAGGGGAGCCAGCUACCUUUUUUUUUUUUUUUUUGAGACAGAGCCUCUUUCUGUCACUCAGGCUGGAGGGUGGUAGUGUGAUCUCGGCUUGCUGCAACCUCUGCCUCCUGGGUUCCAGCGAUUCUUGUGCUUCAGCCUCCUGAAUAGCUGGGAUUACAGGUGGACACCACCAUGCCAGGCUAAUUUUUGUAUUUUUAGUAGAGACGGGGUUUCACCAUGUUGGCCAGGCUGGUCUUGAACUCCUGACCUCAAGUGAUCCACCUGCCUCGGCCUCCCAAAGUGCUGGGAUUAUGGGUGUGAGCCACCGUGCCUGGCCGGAGCCAGCUACUUCUUAUCCUCAUUCUUGUGUAUAAAUCUUGUUGUAAACUUUUAAACAAUUUUUUGUUUUAUUUUUAUUGUUUAUAUUUGAGACAGGGUCUCUCUCUGUCAUCCAGGCUAGAAUGCAGUGGCAUGAUCACAACUCACUGUGACCUCGGCCUUCCAGGCUCAAGUGAUCCUCCCACCUCAGCCUCCCAAGUAGCUGGGACUACAGGUACCCAUCAUCACACCUGGCUAAUUUUUAUAUUUUUAAUGGAGACAAGGUUUUGCCAUAUUGCCCAGGCUGGUCUCUAACUCCUGGGCUGAAGCAAUCCACUUGCCUUGGCCUCCCAAAGUGCUAGGAUUACAGGUAUGAGCCACCUCACCCGUCCUUGUAAACUUUUUUUUUUUUUGAGGUGGUGUCUUGCUCUGUCGUCCAGGCUGAAGUGCAGUGGCGCGAUCUCGGCUCACUGCAACCUCCACCUCUGAGGUUCAAGCAAUUCUCCUGCCUCAGCCUCCCAAGUAGCUGGGAUUACAGGCACCCAUCACCAUGAUUUGUAUUUUUAGUAGAGAUGGGGUUUUGUAUUUUUAAUAGAGACAGGGUUUCUCCAUGUUGUCCAGGCUGGUCUUGAACUCCUGACCUCAAGUGAUCCACCCACCUUGGUCUCCCAAAGUGCUGGGAUUACAGGAGUAUGAGCCACUGCGCCUGACCCUUGUUACAAACUUUUAAUUGAACAAACAAUGGAUAAUAGAGAUGUUCUAAGAUUUGUCUAAUGAAAUGCUUUGUGUUCCCAGGCUCUUCCACAUACUAGCUGUGUGAACUUGGACAAGUGACUUAACUUCUCUUCUCCGUGUCUGCUAACAGUCCCUACACAGAUGGUUGUUGUGAGGCUUAGUUACCAUACAAAAUUCUUAGAUUAGUGCCUGGCACAUAAUAAUAACCACAGCCCCCAAAUGCUAGUUGUCAUUCAUUAUCUUAACAUACCAUGUGAAGGUUGUGUUCUCUUACAUUCUAUAGCCCUCUGUGUUUUAAUAUAAAAUUGUGAUGUCUCUCUUUCUUUUAUUUGUAUUUUUUGAGUAAAACGGACAUUUCAGAAAGAUGUACCAGAUUUUUAUCACAUGGCUUUGUGAGACCCGACAGCCAGCCAACAUCACACACAGUCACAUGUGUGCAUGCAUGAGCACACAUGCAUGCAGACACACACACUUUGAGAAGGCCAUGCUACGCCGGGCUGCUUCCCAAAUGGGCUGAAACAAGUCCUCUUGCCCUGAAGAACCGCCUGUCCCCUCUCCCGCCCACUCAUCGCGCUCCGUGGAGUGAGGCAGGAAAGGGUGAUUGGCUCACAGCAGCAGCAUAGCUCUUAGUAAACCUGACUUGGGAGAAAGGCCUGGCUCCAGCUCCUAGCCCAAGUGUCAGAGCCUGGGUCCCAGCACUGGCUCGAUGCCCUCUUUUGCUGUGCAACCCUGGCCAUGUAACUUCACCUCUCUGAGCCCCAGCUUUGUCAUUUGUGAAAGGGAGCUAACUGUUCCUACCUCUCAGGGUUAUGAGGAUUUGACAGACACAUGGAAAGUGCCUGGCACUUCGUUGUUGCUCCAUAAAUGAGAGCUCUCAAAAGUCUGGCUCAUUUUUUAGCUCAGUAAAAGCUAUCUUUCAUAGUCUUUAAUAAAAUGGGGCUGGCCGGGCGUGGUGGCUCACGCCUGUAAUCCCAGCACUUUGGGAGGCUGAGGUGGGUGGAUCACGAGGUCAGGAGAUCGAGACCAUCCUGGAUAACAUGGUGAAACCCCAUCUCUACUAAAAAAAAUACAAAAAAAUUAGCCGGGUGUGGUGGCAGGCGCCUGUAGUCCCAGCUACUCAGGAAGCUGAAGCAGGAGAAUGGCGUGAGCCCAGGAGGCG
rnacentral:lncRNA from 1 species